AUAUUUAGCAAGAAGCGUAAAAAAAUCAACUCUGAUAUUUAGGCUAUAUGUCAAGCUAGAGAUGCUUGCCAGUAUUUUUCUCAUUAUCUAGAUGAACGCGGAGAACAUAAGGGACACUGUUUGUUACACUGGGAUUGCUAUUGGUUGGAGUCCAAAGAUUGUAGGGUUUUUGAACGUGAAUGUCCAUUUAUCCCACCAAAGGACAUGAAUGAGGAUGAGGAUGUAAAUGAUGCUCGCGAGGAGCUAGAUGCACCGGAGGAUGGCGUCAAUUUUGAAAUUGAUGCUGAGGACCUUGAGAACAGGAGUGUACACUGUGGCUGCUUGUCUGGGCCCAAGUUUCCUUCUAUCGAUGAUUGCCAAGUUUUUAGGUUUUAGAGUUUUUACACGGUUAAUACUGUGAUAUAACAAAUUGCUUUUUAGAUAGAUAAAACAGUUUUGAAAUAAAUUUGAAUCAAAGA